GUGGUCAUUAGCGAUUCCACAA
rnacentral:siRNA from 1 species